GGUUUCACUAUGUAGUUCAGGCUGGCCUUGAACUCACUUUGUAGCCCAGGCUGGUCUUGAACUCAAAGCAAUUCUCCUGCCUCAGUCUCCAGAGUGCUGGGAUCACAGGCAUGAACCACCAUACCAG
rnacentral:miRNA from 1 species